AUGAGAAGUGGAGAGGUUGGCAUAGGUAAGAUAAUUAGUUAAUGGAUAAAGAGUGGAGUGAGGUUGGCUUGGUGGACAUAAAUGGCAUUGAUAGUCCUGGAGGUAAGAUGGUGGUUUUCGAGUGCGAGAUGGCCGGGAGGAUUGAGUUGAAAAGUCAGAUUGAGGUGAGGGAAUAGGUUCAGGAGAUGGUAUAUCAGUAUCAUAAGACAGUGAAGGAUCAAAAGUAAUAUGUGGGAUAGUGUCAAAGGAAGGUGUGACAGUUGGAAAGGUGGUUUCAUGAAACUUGACAUUUCGAGAGAUGAAAAUGUCAUGAGAAGCAAGAUCAAACAAAAUAUAGCC
rnacentral:lncRNA from 1 species